rnacentral:rRNA from 1 species
UACGCGGGGAGCAAGCGUUGUUCGGAUUUACUGGGCGUAAAGGGCGGGUAGGCGGCCACCGCAAGUCAGUUGUGAAAUCUCUGGGCUUAACCCAGAAAGGUCAACUGAUACUGCGGGGCUAGAGUGCAGAAGGGGCAACUGGAAUUCUCGGUGUAGCGGUGAAAUGCGUAGAUAUCGAGAGGAACACCUGCGGCGAAGGCGGGUUGCUGGGCUGACACUGACGCUGAACUGCGAAAGCUAGGGGAGCGAACGGG